GUUUGUUGUCACUAAUUGUUAGGACUAAAAACAAAGGACGUUUUCAGGAGAAAGUCUUAUAACAAAUAAAAGCAAAGGAAUCUUAGAAGCCUUUGAGAUUAGCGUGAUGCAUGUGGAUGAACCAAUAAAGAAGGACUUGUUUAUUUUCGAUACGGAACGUGGCAAGUUGCACGGCCAUUCCGAUCAGAAGAAAGUCAUUGACGCAUUGUGCUGUUGUGUGUUUCUCGCUUCACCACUACACUAAAAUUUUAAGUGAGAAUGGGAAAGAAAAAAGAAAAGACCUGAGAGUAUCCUGUAAAGUAUUAUGCUAUAUGCAGUCCGAACAGGGAAGAAAAGUCACGGUGCAUUUGACCAUGUCCAAUGAUGAUGUUGACAGUUUGAUUGUUGAUAGUAUUUUCAUCAGAUCAUGGGUCAUUAAUUGGAAUAGGUAAGAACCAAAAACAAAAGUACUUCA